UAAUGUAGAUAAGGGAAGUCGGCAAAUUAGAUUCGUAACUUCGGGAAAAGAAUUGGCUCUAGAGAUUGGGCUAGUCGGGUUGUUACGUGAUGCUUAUGGGCUGCGUUCGUGACUAGGGCGGCGAGCUUCGGUGAGCUGUUCGGGCUAGUAGCGUGGCCCGUAGGUGGAUCGUUUCAGCUUGGUCUGCGUUCGUUUCGGCGUGCGUAGUCUUCGGCUAGCGCUUAACAAUCGAAUCUAGAACUGGUACGGACUGGGGGAAUCCGACUGUCUAAUUAAAACAGAGGAGACAGAUGGUCUCUGAAAGACGUUGACUGUCUCUGAUUUCUGCCCAGUGCUCUGAAUGUUAAUUUAAGGAAAUUUGAGUAAGCGCGGGUAAACGGCGGGAGUAACUAUGACUCUCUUAAGGUAGCCAAAUGCCUCGUCAUUUAAUUAGUGACGCGUAUGAAUGCUGGUCUGGGAGAUCAGCUCGGCAUACUUAUGAU
rnacentral:ncRNA from 1 species